rnacentral:rRNA from 1 species
UACAGAGGGUGCAAGCGUUAAUCGGAAUUACUGGGCGUAAAGCGCACGUAGGCGGCUUGUUAAGUCAGGGGUGAAAUCCUGGAGCUCAACUCCAGAACUGCCUUUGAUACUGGCGAGCUUGAGUUCGGGAGAGGUGAGUGGAACUGCGAGUGUAGAGGUGAAAUUCGUAGAUAUUCGCAAGAACACCAGUGGCGAAGGCGGCUCACUGGCCCGAUACUGACGCUGAGGUGCGAAAGCGUGGGGAGCAAACAGG